rnacentral:sRNA from 1 species
GCGGGCGGCUGCUGUACGCAGGCCGGGCCCAAAAGCGCGUGGAGCGGCAGAAUGAACUGAAGCGCAGGUUUGAGCAGAUGAAGCAGGACCGGCUGAGGCGUUACCAGGGUGUGAACUUGUACGUGAAGAACCUGGAUGACUCCAUUGAUGACGACAAGCUGAGGAAGGAGUUCUCUCCCUAUGGAGUAAUUACCAGUGCGAAGGUGAUGACAGAGGGUGGCCACAGCAAGGGGUUUGGCUUUGUGUGUUUUUCCUCCCCAGAAGAGGCGACAAAGGCCGUGACAGAGAUGAACGGGCGCAUCGUGGGCACCAAGCCACUCUACGUGGCACUGGCCCAGCGCAAAGAGGAGCGGAAGGCCAUUUUGACCAACCAGUACAUGCAGCGCCUCUCCACCAUGCGGACCUUGAGCAACCCCCUCCUGGGCUCCUUUCAGCAGCCCUCCAGCUACUUCCUGCCUGCCGUGCCCCAGCUGCCUACCCUCCAGGUGCCUCAGUGGUCCGGCCACCAGUUGUGCCUCGGCGCCCCCCGGCCCACAUCAGCAGUGUCAGGCAGGCCUCCACCCAGGUGCCACACACGGUGCCUCAUACCCAGAGAGUAGCCAACAUUGGUACUCAGACCACAGGACCCAGUGGGGUAGGAUGCUGUACACCAGGCCGGCCUCUCCUGCCGUACAAAUGUUCCUCAGCAGCACAUAGCACCUAUCGGGUCCAGGAGCCGGCUGUGCACAUCCCUGGACAGGAGCCCCUGACCGCGUCCAUGCUGGCUGCGGCACCCCUGCAUGAGCAAAAGCAGAUGAUUGAGGGUGUUCCACACAGGGGAGCGUCUCUACCCCCUUAUCCAUGAUGUCCACACCCAGCUGGCCGGCAAGAUCACGGGCAUGCUGCUGGAGAUUGACAACUCGGAGCUGUUGCUCAUGCUGGAGUCUCCAGAAUCACUCCAUGCCAAGAUAGACGAGGCAGUGGCCGUGCUGCAGGCACACCAGGCUAUGGAGCAGCCGAAGGCGUACGUGCACUGAAACCAGAAAAGGAAAUCCUUGCUUCCAUGGCUGCCAAAAGGACAGUGUUUCUGGCUCUCAGCCCUAAGGCCCUGCAAACUCUAACUUAUUUCCCCAUUAGUCUGUAUCUAUACUUGGGCUCUGUGUGUGAAUGAAGGUUGGUCACCCAUCCAGCCUAUUACCUUUUGCUUUGUGUAUUAAAAGUGCUGCAAAAUCUGC